rnacentral:rRNA from 1 species
CCUGCUUCCAGGAAAAGCCUCUAAGCAUCAGGUAACAUCAAAUCGUACCCCAAACCGACACAGGUGGUCAGGUAGAGAAUACCAAGGCGCUUGAGAGAACUCGGGUGAAGGAACUAGGCAAAAUGGUGCCGUAACUUCGGGAGAAGGCACGCUGAUAUGUAGGUGAAGUCCCUCGCGGAUGGAGCUGAAAUCAGUCGAAGAUACCAGCUGGCUGCAACUGUUUAUUAAAAACACAGCACUGUGCAAACACGAAAGUGGACGUAUACGGUGUGACGCCUGCCCGGUGCCGGAAGGUUAAUUGAUGGGGUUAGCGCAAGCGAAGCUCUUGAUCGAAGCCCCGGUAAACGGCGGCCGUAACUAUAACGGUCCUAAGGUAGCGAAAUUCCUUGUCGGGUAAGUUCCGACCUGCACGAAUGGCGUAAUGAUGGCCAGGCUGUCUCCACCCGAGACUCAGUGAAAUUGAACUCGCUGUGAAGAUGCAGUGUACCCGCGGCAAGACGGAAAGACCCCGUGAACCUUUACUAUAGCUUGACACUGAACAUUGAGCCUUGAUGUGUAGGAUAGGUGGGAGGCUUUGAAGUGUGGACGCCAGUCUGCAUGGAGCCGACCUUGAAAUACCACCCUUUAAUGUUUGAUGUUCUAACGUUGACCCGUAAUCCGGGUUGCGGACAGUGUCUGGUGGGUAGUUUGACUGGGGCGGUCUCCUCCUAAAGAGUAACGGAGGAGCACGAAGGUUGGCUAAUCCUGGUCGGACAUCAGGAGGUUAGUGCAAUGGCAUAAGCCAGCUUGACUGCGAGCGUGACGGCGCGAGCAGGUGCGAAAGCAGGUCAUAGUGAUCCGGUGGUUCUGAAUGGAAGGGCCAUCGCUCAACGGAUAAAAGGUACUCCGGGGAUAACAGGCUGAUACCGCCCAAGAGUUCAUAUCGACGGCGGUGUUUGGCACCUCGAUGUCGGCUCAUCACAUCCUGGGGCUGAAGUAGGUCCCAAGGGUAUGGCUGUUCGCCAUUUAAAGUGGUACGCGAGCUGGGUUUAGAACGUCGUGAGACAGUUCGGUCCCUAUCUGCCGUGGGCGCUGGAGAACUGAGGGGGGCUGCUCCUAGUACGAGAGGACCGGAGUGGACGCAUCACUGGUGUUCGGGUUGUCAUGCCAAUGGCACUGCCCGGUAGCUAAAUGCGGAAGAGAUAAGUGCUGAAAGCAUCUAAGCACGAAACUUGCCCCGAGAUGAGUUCUCCCUGACUCCUUGAGAGUCCUGAAGGAACGUUGAAGACGACGACGUUGAUAGGCCGGGUGUGUAAGCGCAGCGAUGCGUUGAGCUAACCGGUACUAAUGAACCGUGAGGCUU